CAACGCUCCCCAAAUUUUAGGGUUUUUUUGUUCACUCUUCUUCUUCGCCUGCAUCCGCCAUCCUCCCCAAAAUGCCGAAGCAGAUUCACGAGAUAAAGGACUUCCUGCUCACUGCCAGGAGGAAGGAUGCACAGUCGGUGAAGAUCAAGAAGAGCAAAAAUGUUGUCAAGUUCAAGGUCAGGUGCUCGAAAUACCUCUACACCCUCUGCGUCUUUGACCUUGAGAAGGCCGACAAGUUGAAGCAAUCCCUUCCACCGGGUCUAAGUGUGCUGGACCUUUGAAGGUGGAACGUUCCGCCUCUGGAGAGUUGUAGCAUGUCGAAAGGGAUUUAGCUUGAGCUUUUCUCGGGGUUUGUUUGAAAGACUGUUUUGAUGGAAAUUAAUUACUCUAAUUUGUAGUGAAAACAUAUGUUGUGAUCAAUACAUGCCUUGGGUGUUUAGAUUGAA